AAUCAAAAGCCUUUUUUCUUCUGUAUACGCAUCAGUGCUUGCGUUCAGCGAAUUGUGAAGCAGUGAAAGGUGUAGCGAGAUCAACAUGAGGGGAAGAAGCUACAGCUACAGCCCGUCACCUCCGAGGCGUCACAGCCGAAGAAGGCGCAGUCCUAGCCCUAGGGGUCGUUAUGGAGGUCGUGGUAGGGAUUUGCCAACGAGUCUUCUGGUUCGGAACCUCCACAGAGAUUGCAGGCCAGAAGAUUUGCAUGGCCCAUUUGGUCAAUUUGGUCCUCUCAAGGAUGUUUACCUGCCGCGAGAUUAUUAUACUGGAGUUGAAGAGAAGAAUGAAGUAAUAAGAGUACUGUGUUGAAGAGAAGAAAGAAGUAAUAAGAGUGUCAUGUUGAAGAUACCAAUCAAGUAAUAAGAGUUCCUUUCAAGGUGAUGUUAGUGACCUUGAAGGUUCGGAAGGUUGAGUUUGAAUUCCUUGUGAAGAAGUUCAAGUCUUGAAGAUUUUCAUCUCAAUUAGUACUUUGGCUUCUACAAGGCACCCAAGAGGUUUUGGGUUUGUUCAAUAUGUGGACCCAGCUGAUGCUGCAGAUGCAAAGUAUCACAUGGAUGGUCAAAUUCUUCUUGGUCGGGAGUUGAUUGUGGUCUUUGCUGAAGAAAACAGAAAGAAGCCUGCUGAAAUGAGAGCAAGAGAACAUCGGAGGAGAUCUCCACUUCGUCUUUCUCGAUCCCCACGCUAUGCACGAACCUAUUCACCUAGUCCAGACUAUUCACCUUCCCCAAGACGGAGGAGAUAUUACAGGUCAAUCUCACCAAGAGACAGAAACUUUAGGGAGCGAUCAUACUCUCGAUCUCGAUCACCUUAUAGGUCGAGAAGCCGCAGCAGAAGUAGGAGUUACAGCAGGAGCAUGAGCCAAAGUCCGGGGUACUCUAGGUGAUUAACUUGAUACAAGCUUGGGGAAUGUGGUGGAAAAUGCUGUAGUUUUCAUUUGUUUUUUAUGAGGCUUGUGUGCUCAAAUACAUCAGACUUUCAGUAGUUUUUUUAUAUCUGGUAGAAAGGAUCUGUCGUGGUUUUCUUUCAGCCUUGUGACAAGACAACUUUUGUUUGUGCUUGUUUGGCCAAGAUUUCUAUUUGUGCUUUGC